rnacentral:rRNA from 1 species
UUGCUUUUUGUUGGUUAGCGGCGGACGGGUGAGUAACACGUGGGUAACCUGCCUGUAAGACCGGGAUAACUCCGGGAAACCGGUGCUAAUACCGGAUAGAUUAUCUUUCCGCCUGGAGAGAUAAGGAAAGAUGGCUAUUGCCAUCACUUACAGAUGGGCCCGCGGCGCAUUAGCUAGUUGGUGAGGUAACGGCUCACCAAGGCGACGAUGCGUAGCCGACCUGAGAGGGUGAUCGGCCACACUGGGACUGAGACACGGCCCAGACUCCUACGGGAGGCAGCAGUAGGGAAUCUUCCGCAAUGGACGAAAGUCUGACGGAGCAACGCCGCGUGAGCGAAGAAGGUCUUCGGAUCGUAAAGCUCUGUUGUUAGGGAAGAACAAGUAUCGGAGGAAAUGCCGGUACCUUGACGGUACCUGACGAGAAAGCCACGGCUAACUACGUGCCAGCAGCCGCGGUAAUACGUAGGUGGCAAGCGUUGUCCGGAUUUAUUGGGCGUAAAGCGCGCGCAGGCGGUCCUUUAAGUCUGAUGUGAAAUCUUGCGGCUCAACCGCAAGCGGUCAUUGGAAACUGGGGGACUUGAGUGCAGAAGAGGAAAGCGGAAUUCCACGUGUAGCGGUGAAAUGCGUAG